rnacentral:RNase_MRP_RNA from 1 species
GCUCGCUCUGAAGGCCUGUUUCCUAGGCUACGCACGGGGACUCGUUCCCCCCUUCCGCCUAGGGGAAAGUCCCCGGACCUCGGGCAGAGAGUGCCGCGUGCGCGCGCGCGCAGACCCCUCCGCCGCACGGCUACCCCGCCAAGAAGCCCCGAGCCGAGCGGCGUGCGGCGGGGCGUCGGCCGUCAGCUCUCCUAGUGACGCAGGCAGCGCGCCCUCGGCGCGCCAACCACACGGGGCUCAUUCUCAGCGCGGC